AGACAGAUGGCCUUAAGUUCUCCUGCAGAAUGUCUUGAUAAACUUGGGAAUUCAUUUUUCCUUCGAUGAUAGCAAUCCGUCCAAGCCCUGACGCAGCAAAGCAGCCCCAAACCAUGAUGCCCCCACCACCAUACUUCACAGUUGGGAUGAGGUUUUGAUGUUGGUGUGCUGUGCCUUUUUUUCACCACACGUAGUGUUGUGUGUUUCUUCCAAACGACUCAACUUUGG